rnacentral:rRNA from 1 species
UACGUAGGGGGCGAGCGUUGUCCGGAAUUAUUGGGCGUAAAGAGCUCGUAGGCGGUUUGUUGCGUCGGCUGUGAAAUCCCGAGGCUCAACCUCGGGUCUGCAGUCGAUACGAGCAAACUAGAGUGUUGCAGGGGAGACUGGAAUUCCUGGUGUAGCGGUGAAAUGCGCAGAUAUCAGGAGGAACACCGGUGGCGAAGGCGGGUCUCUGGGCAACAACUGACGCUGAGGAGCGAAGGCGUGGGGAGCGAACAGG